UACGUAGGGUGCAAGCGUUGUCCGGAAUUAUUGGGCGUAAAGAGCUCGUAGGCGGUUUGUCGCGUCUGCUGUGAAAACUCGGGGCUUAACCCCGGGCCUGCAGUGGGUACGGGCAGACUAGAGGUAGGUAGGGGAGAAUGGAAUUCCCGGUGUAGCGGUGAAAUGCGCAGAUAUCGGGAGGAACACCGGUGGCGAAGGCGGUUCUCUGGGCCUUACCUGACACUGAGGAGCGAAAGCGUGGGGAGCGAACAGG
rnacentral:rRNA from 1 species